CCCGUGACACACUGGUGUACCUGCCACCUUGUACCGGAAGAGGGCGCCAUUGCCCACAGAAUAUAAUGUAAGAGGGUUUUUGACCUGCAUGGGGAACACUGUACUUAAAUCAAAGUGACCACAUCACCUCCCUGCAACCACAUAUAGACGCAUUUACAUCAAUGUAUUUAACCAAAUGUUUACAUUAUAAUGAGCAUGACCAGUUUAGGACCCCUGAAGUGUCGGGUCAACAUAGAAGCCGAACAUUGUAGCACAUGUUUGUCGUUAUGUUUCACCAUUCAUAAUGUCCUGGCUGGUAGGUAGCAACUUGAGCUGCAUAAAGACCACAUUUCUUUUCAGUUUGUUUCCUACACGCUUUUGGCAGGUGACAUUUGGUAUUAUUGUUUUCUUUCCUUUAUGCCUCUGCUCAUUCAUCAGAUGUAUCUUUAUUGAAACCCUGGUAAUUUACUACUACAAUGUAUGCAAAAAUGAUAGUAUAGUACCUCAAUGAAUUGUACUGUAAACGUGAACCUUUUUUUUGCUAUUUGUUGUGCAACUUAUCUCCACUAGGGCUUUGCUGGACAGUAAAGUCCCCUUAUAAUGUGUUCAUUUGUGAGAGUUUGGGGGCUGGGUACCUCUGAGGGGGGCGGCGCACCUCUCCAGCAGACCCCUCCCGCCCCUCUCACACUGUGACCAGCAGCCAGACAGACAGUCUCCAUCCCACCACAACCAAACCCUUCUGCGCGCCGCAUCUAAUGCCUCCGCCUGCUCCGGGAUAGACCGCCGCCGUCCGUCCGACCGACCGACUGUCCGCCCGCUGCAGCUCCCUGAAGCGACCGGACGAGGAUGCUGGAAAACGGGAUGAAGGUGUACAAGGAGGGUCUGCUGGAGAAGCGGAGCGACGGGCUGCUGCAGCUGUGGAAGAAGAAGCACUGCGUCCUGACCGAGGACAGCGUGCUGCUGCUGCCGCCGAAGCAGCACGACCAGCCACAGCAGCACCACCAUCACCACCACCAGCAGCAGCAGCCGCACCAGGGCGGCGGGGACACGGGCAAAGUCAAGGAGCUGCACUUCGCCAACAUGAAGACGGUGGACUGCGUGGAGCGCAAGGGCAAGUACGUGUACUUCACGGUGGUCAUGGCGGAGGGCAAGGAGAUCGACUUCAGGUGCCCGCAGGACGAGGGCUGGAACGCGGCGAUCACAUUGCAGAUGGUCCAGUACAAGAACCGACAGGCGAUCCUGGCCGUAAAGUCCACUCGGCAGAAGCAGCAGCUGCUCGUCGUGCAGAUGCCCGGCCAGAAGACGGUCCGCAGCCCGCCAAACGUAGCGUGACCCGCGGCCAGUCCCGCGGACUUGGGUGCGCCAAUAGUGGGUAAGACACAGAGCGAAAGGGACGGUGGGGCUCCCCGGGUCCGGGGACCACCUGGCGAUCCCCUUUGCAAAUGAAGGACCUGUAUUUUGGGUGAAAUCAUUUCUUCCAUGGAUCUUUGUGCUUAAAAGGAGGACAUCUGUUUCCAUCAUAGGCGACAGUCCUCCUCGCAGACCAGACCCUGAGCAAAAAUGACAGAGGGGACGAAAUUAGUACAAAAUGAGGAUUUACUUUGGCAUAAAGUGAAGUUUGGGAGCCUCUGCUAAAGGCCUACCCACAUGCUCCCCUCAUCGAGAUACAAUAUGCUGGAUAUCCAUUCCCAGACAGGUUAGUUGGAAACUCGGUUGGAAGAUGGGUAUCGACGAGGGUCUCCCCCUGCCGCUUCAACACAGACCUCCACUCUGCAGGACCCCUCUUCCAUGUGCUGAGGUCCACAUACCAGCCUCCCCUUUUCAAUACAGAGACUCCUUUCACAAAAGACUGAUGGACAAAAAUCAUGUGACCACAACUGUACUGUUGUGAUGGGUUUAUCCUCUAUUUAUUAGAUGUAUAUAUAUUUUCUAUAAAACAAAUGUGUUUGUCAAUGAAUGUUCAGUGUGUUUGUUUCCAGAGAGGAACAAGAAAUGCUCGCUCGGCGCCUUCCUACCCCACGUGUUACACUCAUAGUCCCCUGGGAAUAAUCUUACAUAUAGUUAUUUUAGGAUGGUGGCUGUAGGUAAUCAAGUCAUUACUUGGGAAAUGUUUCGAUUAUUGACCAUGUUUUUAUUUUUCAACUGAACCAAAGAAUCAUUCUGUUAUGUUUUUGCUCUUGUGCAGUGUUACAGCUCAGAAUAUACUAAAUACCACAGAUAUCUGAUACCUGCAUGCCUGCUUGAUUUCCGAAUAGCACCAACAUCUUAGUAUUUUUAUUGUGCGCAUCAAUCGCUUUCCAGCGUUUUUAGAGAAACAAGCUAUAUCUUGAUUUCGUAUGAGUCUUAAAUCGUAGUCAGUUUUUUUUACAGUGGUCAUAGAGAGAAGCUUAGUAAGUAACAUGCCCAGUUUUUGUUGUAUUGACUGUUCUAAAGACAAUUUCAUGUUUGCAUUACAUUGUAGUGAGUGGGGACCAAUAACCCUUUUGUUCUGGCUUCAUGAUGUGGUGUGAAACCUAAAGCUGAAGGACACCAAUAGACCCAGCCUAAACCUUGUAAUUAAUACCCCCCCCCCCCCCACCACACCUAAAAAAUACUUCUUGGUUAAGGAGAUCCUCAACAACAAAAAACAACAUAGACAUAAGUCAGCACCAAUCUGUUUCUUGAAUAAACUGGAUUUGUUGUCACAUUAGAUAAUGUUCAUGUUUCUAAUGGAGGGUUUGAAGUUUCUCCAGGACAAAAUUAACCAGCUUCAUAAUGUAUCUGUUGUGAAGGUGGCGAUAUACAGGGCAACAUUUAGCGAAACGUGACGGACAACUACUUCCUGUGUAGUCUUUGUCCUGAUGAUGGGAUGUUGUUCUGUCAGGAAACAUUUGACCUAAUUGUUGCUGGUGUUUCUUCCUGUUUGCUGGAAAGUGUUCCCCACUGCUUUCCCCCCCCUUGCCAUCGACUAGAGCCAAACCAACACAUGCCUUGGUGGUGUUGUCAUCUCCCACACAGGGUAAUAGCUGUGCCCUUUAUCUAAUGCUACUGGUGUGAUGCUUCCCCGACAUGCCUUCCUGUUGCCAUCAUUGCACACACAGUUACAGCUGUGCCCUCUCUCUGUCCAAUUCCUUAUUUCAAUGUGAGAUCUAUUUUCAUACCUCGAAAAGACACAUUCCAUUAAAAGAAACAAAAUGAAAA